UGGCAUCAUGAGUCCGCAUGUUCACAUGAUUAAAGGUAUUCCGGUAGACGAUGGGGAUGCGUUCCAUUAGAUAGUAGGCGGGGUAACGGCCCACCUAGUCUUCGAUGGAUAGGGGUUCUGAGAGGAACGGUCCCCCAACAUUGGAACUGAGACACGGUCCAAACUCCUACGGGAGGCAGCAGUGAGGAAUAUUGGUCAAUGGGCGAGAGUCUGAACCAGCCAAGUAGCGUGCAGGAUGACCGGCCCUAUGGGUUGUAAACUACUUUAUAAGGGAAUAAAGUGAGUCUCGUGAGUACUUUUGCAUGUACCUUAUGAAUAAGGACCGGCUAAUUCCGUG
rnacentral:rRNA from 1 species